rnacentral:rRNA from 1 species
CAGCCGCCGCGAGAAUACAGAGGGUGCGAGCGUUAAUCGGAUUUACUGGGCGUAAAGCGUGCGUAGGCGGCUUUUUAAGUCGGAUGUGAAAUCCCUGAGCUUAACUUAGGAAUUGCAUUCGAUACUGGGAAGCUAGAGUAUGGGAGAGGAUGGUAGAAUUCCAGGUGUAGCGGUGAAAUGCGUAGAGAUCUGGAGGAAUACCGAUGGCGAAGGCAGCCAUCUGGCCUAAUACUGACGCUGAGGUACGAAAGCAUGGGGAGCAAACAGGAUUAGAUACCCCUGUAGUCCCUGUCUCUUAUAA